UACAGAGGGUGCGAGCGUUAAUCGGAAUUACUGGGCGUAAAGCGCGCGUAGGCGGCUUUGUAAGUCGGUUGUGAAAUCCCCGGGCUUAACCUGGGAACUGCAUCCGAGACUGCAUGGCUAGAGUAUGGGAGAGGGAAGUGGAAUUUCAGGUGUAGCGGUGAAAUGCGUAGAUAUCUGGAGGAACACCGGUGGCGAAGGCGGCAUCCUGGACCGGCAUUGACGCUGAGGAGCGAAAGCCAGGGGAGCAAAGCGGG
rnacentral:rRNA from 1 species